rnacentral:rRNA from 1 species
UCUGCUCAAUGUUUAAUUAUAAAUAGCUGCAUCAUAUGUACUAAGGUAGCGUAAUAAUUUGCCUUUUAAUUGAAGGAUAGUAUGAAGGAAAACACAAGAAAAAUGCUGUCUCUAUUUUAUAAAUAUAAAUUAAUCUAUAAGUGAAAAAGCUUAUAUAAAAUAAAUAGACAAGAAGACCCUGUUGAGCUUUUUCUAAUAAUUAAUAAUUAGAUUUUGUUGGGGCAACAUUAAUUUUAUAGACCAAUUUUUAUUAUUUAGAAAAAAUUCUUUUUAUUAAUCUUAUUUUAUAAAAUAUUAAUAAGUUACCACAGGGAUAACAGGCUAAUUUUUUUAUAGAGUUCAAAUUAACAAAAAAGAUUGGCACCUCGAUGUUGGCUUAAAGUUUCAUUCAAAAGUAGUAAUUUGAAUAGUUGGUUU